rnacentral:rRNA from 1 species
AAAAACACAUUGGUGAUCUGCCCUGCACUUCGGUAUAAGCCUGGGAAACUGGGUCUAAUACCGGAUAGGACGAUGGUUUGUAUGCCAUUGUGGCAAGUUUUUUCGGUGUUGGAUGAGCUCGCGGCCUAUCAGCUUGUUGGUUGGGUAAUGGCCUACCAAGGCGUCGACGUGUAGCCUGCCUGAGAGGGUGUACGGCCACAUUGGGACUGAGAUACGGCCCAGACUACUACGGGAGGAAGCAGUGGGGGAUAUUGCACAAUGGGCGCAAGACUGAUGCAGAGACGUAGUGUGUGG